rnacentral:lncRNA from 1 species
AUGACUUCCCAAGUCUGGGUGGUAUUUGUGUGCAGCCCGGAAUGUCUGCUCAGCCCCCAAAUCUGCUCAGACAAACACGAGAUCACGGGCAGCGACGGCAACACAAAUCGGGUCCUGCUGACCAGCGUACAAACUGUUCCUUCCUGUCCGUGGCUGAGAGCCCAAAUUUGGUCUGUGGCAGCUCAGGACAAAGGCGCUGUGGCAGUGGCCGCGGCCCCGCCUUUCCUCUGCCCGGGACAACUCCCUCUGCCCGGAGGCUGUGCUUCCACCGGUCACGGUCACUGCUGGAGGUCACCACGUGGCCCGAGUCCAUCUAGCAGAUGUUUUCAGACCACCUGGUUAACCUGGCGGGCACUGGGGAGAUGGCAGAGGACCAGGUGGGAGGGACAAAAGGAAACUGCAGGCAGCAGGGCCUGGGAGGAGCCCGCAGGUUCUGCCUCCUGCUGCGAGCUGGUCACGGGCACUGGUCAAAGCAAGUGCAAAGGUCCUAGGGCAGGGACCGACAGGGGGGGUGAGGGCCAGGGAGAGGACACAGGGCUGGAACACGGUGGCCAGGGCAGAGACAAGAAGCUGCCGGGCUCCUCCUGGAUGUGGCUGAAAACUUAGGACAUUUGGGCUUUCACCUCCUCAUGCCCACCCACCCCCCGAAGAGCUAUCGCCAAAGAUGCCGCUGCCGGCGCACCCGAUCUGUUGCUCUGGGUCCCCUCAGCCUCUGCCGCACCCCUAGCUAGGUCUGCAAGCCUGGGCGUGCAGGGGAAGCCAGGAUUCUUUCACCCAGCACAUCUUGAGCACCCACUGCGUACCAGGUCCUGCCCCUGGGCUGUCGGGAGCCCGCGAGGAUCCCCCCGGAGCCCGGAGCGCCUGCGGCUGAGCUGGCCUCGAUCUCCCGGGCUGGCGGGGCCACUCGGAGGGAAAACUCGGGAGGCUGAGGCAGGAGAGUUCGCCGGGAGUUCCCAGUCCGCCCGGGCUCCACGGCGAGUUCAAGGCCUCGGCUACUCAUGGAGACCCUGUCUAAGAAACCAAUACUAAUAAUAAAAGAGCCCGGCGGGAAUAAAAUAAGAAGUGAAGGAAGGAAGAAGCGGGG